CCUACGGGAGGCUGCAGUGAGGAAUAUUGGUCAAUGGACGGAAGUCUGAACCAGCCAUGCCGCGUGCAGGAUGACGGCUCUAUGAGUUGUAAACUGCUUUUGUCUUAGGGUAAACACCCCUACGUGUAGGGGCUUGAACGUAUCCUACGCAUAAGGAUCGGCUAACUCCGUGCCAGCAGCCGCGGUAAGACGGAGGAUCCAAGCGUUAUCCGGAUUUAUUGGGUUUAAAGGGUGCGUAGGCGGUUUGAUAAGUUAGCGGUGAAAUACCGGGGCUCAAAACCGGAACUGCCGCUAAUACUGGUGGACUAGAGAGGAGUUGCGGUAGGCGGAAUGCAUGGUGUAGCGGUGAAAUGCUUAGAGAUCAUACAGAACACCGAUUGCGAAGGCAGCGUACCAAACUAGAUCUGACGUUGAGGCACGAAAGCGUGGGUAGCAAACAGGAUUAGAUACCCUAGUAGUC
rnacentral:rRNA from 1 species